AGAGUUUGAUCAUGGCUCAGAUUGAACGCUGGCGGCAGGCCUAACACAUGCAAGUCGAGCGGUAGAGGGGAGCUUGCUUCCCUUGAGAGCGGCGGACGGGUGAGUAAUACUUAGGAACAUGCCUUUGGGUGGGGGAUAACUAUUGGAAACGAUAGCUAAUACCGCAUAACGUCUACGGAGGAAAGGAGGGGAUCUUCGGACCUUUCGCUAUCAGAUGAGCCUGCGUGAGAUUAGCUAGUUGGUGGGGUAAAGGCUCACCAAGGCGACGAUCUCUAGCUGGUCUGAGAGGAUGAUCAGCCACACUGGGACUGAGACACGGCCCAGACUCCUACGGGAGGCAGCAGUGGGGAAUAUUGGACAAUGGGCGCAAGCCUGAUCCAGCCAUGCCGCGUGUGUGAAGAAGGCCUUCGGGUUGUAAAGCACUUUCAGCGAGGAGGAAAGGUUGCCGCUUAAUACGCGGUAGCUGUGACGUUACUCGCAGAAGAAGGACCGGCUAACUCCGUGCCAGCAGCCGCGGUAAUACGGAGGGUCCAAGCGUUAAUCGGAAUUACUGGGCGUAAAGCGCGCGUAGGCGGCCUGAUAAGUUGGAUGUGAAAGCCCCGGGCUUAACCUGGGAACUGCAUUCAAAACUGCCUAGCUAGAGUACGAUAGAGGGGGGUAGAAUUUCAGGUGUAGCGGUGAAAUGCGUAGAGAUCUGAAGGAAUAUCAGUGGCGAAGGCGGCCCCCUUGGAUUGAUACUGACACUGAGGUGCGAAAGCGUGGGUAGCAAACAGGAUUAGAUACCCUGGUAGUCCAUGCCGUAAACGAUGUCAACUAGCCGUUGGAAGACUUGAUCUUUUAGUGGCGCAGCUAACGCAAUAAGUUGACCGCCUGGGGAGUACGGCCGCAAGGUUAAAACUCAAAUGAAUUGACGGGGGCCCGCACAAGCGGUGGAGCAUGUGUGUUAAUUCGACGCAACGCGAAGAACCUUACCUACUCUUGACAUCCUCAGAACUUAGCAGAGAUGCUUUGGUGCCUUCGGGAACUGAGUGACAGGUGCUGCAUGGCUGUCGUCAGCUCGUGUUGUGAAAUGUUGGGUUAAGUCCCGUAACGAGCGCAACCCUUGUCCUUAUUUGCCAGCACGUAAUGGUGGGAACUUUAAGGAGACUGCCGGUGACAAACCGGAGGAAGGUGGGGACGACGUCAAGUCAUCAUGGCCCUUACGAGUAGGGCUACACACGUGCUACAAUGGCAAGUACAGAGGGCUGCAAACCAGCGAUGGUAAGCGAAUCCCACAAAGCUUGUCGUAGUCCGGAUCGGAGUCUGCAACUCGACUCCGUGAAGUCGGAAUCGCUAGUAAUCGUGAAUCAGAACGUCACGGUGAAUACGUUCCCGGGCCUUGUACACACCGCCCGUCACACCAUGGGAGUUGAUUGCUCCAGAAGUGGUUAGCCUAACCUUAGGGAGGGCGAUCACCACGGAGUGAUUCAUGACUGGGGUGAAGUCGUAACAAGGUAACCGUA
rnacentral:rRNA from 1 species